CCUACGGGAGGCAGCAGUGGGGAAUUUUGGACAAUGGGCGAAAGCCUGAUCCAGCAAUGCCGCGUGUGGGAAGAAGGCCUUCGGGCUGUAAACCACUUUUGUACGGAACGAAACGGUCUGCUUUAAUAAAGUGGGCUAAUGACGGUACCGUAAGAAUAAGCACCGGCUAACUACGUGCCAGCAGCCGCGGUAAUACGUUGGGUGCGAGCGUUAAUCGGAAUUACUGGGCGUAAAGCGUGCGCAGGCGGUUAUAUAAGACAGUUGUGAAAUCCCCGGGCUCAACCUGGGAAUUGCAUCUGUGACUGUAUAGCUAGAGUACGGUAGAGGGGGAUGGAAUUCCGCGUGUAGCAGUGAAAUGCGUAGAUAUGCGGAGGAACACCGAUGGCGAAGGCAAUCCCCUGGACCUGUACUGACGCUCAUGCACGAAAGCGUGGGGAGCAAACAGGAUUAGAUACCCUGGUAGUCCACGCCCUAAACGAUGUCAACUGGUUGUUGGGUGCAUUAGUACUCAGUAACGAAGCUAACGCGUGAAGUUGACCGCCUGGGGAGGACGGCCGCGAAGGUUAGUAACGUUACGAAAGUAAGUUAGUUAGGCGUUGAGACGNGCGACGGACGACGACGAGGGAGGAGG
rnacentral:rRNA from 1 species